AACGUACGCUGGCGGCACGCCUAACACAUGCAAGUCGAACGCAGUAGCAAUACUGAGUGGCAGACGGGUGAGUAACAUGUGGGAAUCUGCCUUGUGGUUCAGGACAACAUUGGGAAACCGAUGCUAAUACUGGAUAAGCCCUUACGGGGAAAGUUUUAAUGCCAUAAGAUGAGCCCGCAUUUGAUUAGUUAGUUGGUGAGGUAAUGGCUCACCAAGACAAUGAUCAAUAGCUGAUCUGAGAGGAUGAUCAGCCACACUGGGACUGAGACACGGCCCAGACUCCUACGGGAGGCAGCAGUGGGGAAUCUUGCACAAUGGAGGAAACUCUGAUGCAGCGAUGCCGCGUGAGUGAAGAAGGCCUUUGGGUUGUAAAGCUCUUUUGUAGGGGAAGAUAAUGACUGUACCCUAAGAAUAAGGUCCGGCUAACUUCGUG
rnacentral:rRNA from 1 species